AUUGAACGCUAGCGGGAUGCCUUACACAUGCAAGUCGAACGGAGUGGCGAACGGGUGAGUAAUGUAUGGGAACGUGCCCAGUAGUGGGGGAUAACUACGCGAAAGCGUAGCUAAUACCGCAUACUAUUGGAGCGGCCGAUAUCGGAUUAGCUAGUUGGUGGGGUAACGGCUCACCAAGGCGACGAUCCGUAGCUGGUUUGAGAGGACGACCAGCCACACUGGGACUGAGACACGGCCCAGACUCCACCGGGAGGCAGAAGUGGGGAAUUGUGGACAAUGGGGGAAGCCCUGAUCCAGCCAUCCCGCGUGUUCGAUGAAUGCCUUCGGGUUGUAAAACCCUUUUGGUAGGACAGCGGUACCAGCAGAGUAAGCACCGGCUAACUACGUGCCAGCAGCCGCGGUAAUAC
rnacentral:rRNA from 1 species